UCCCCUCACGGCUCCAUGAGGGUACACCUGCCUGAGGGAAUGGCGGGAACCAUCUCCCCCUUCCCUCACGGCUCCAUGAGGGUACACCUGCCUGAGGGAAUGGCGGGAACCAUCUCCCCCUUCCCUCACGGCUCCAUGAGGGGACACCUGCCUGAGGGAAUGGCGGGAACCAUCUCCCCUCACGGCUCCAUGAGGGGACACCUGCCUGAGGGAAUGGCGGGUGUCAUCUCCCCCUUCCCUCAUGGCUCCAUGAGGGCCUGGCUGCCAAGGGAAUGGCAGGUGCUGUUUCCCCUCACAGUUCUGUGAGGAAGUGUUACCAGAAUCCUCCAAAAACGUCAUGAGAAAUAAGACUCCACCCCUGUUUUCCAGUGUUAUCGAGCCAGGCCUUGCUUUCUUCUUGGCCCCGGCUCAUGCGAGGCUGACAAAGUUCCUCCACACCCAGGCUGAUACAAAACUUAUUUACUUAGUUAUACAUUUCCAGCAAAAGAAGCAAUUCAUUUAUUGGUAUAGCUCUUCUUUAUUAAUUUGCAGUGGUUUGUAAGCAGUGAAGCAUUGUUACCAGCCCUUAAUUACCCGAAUGUUUGUAGAGAAGUUUAUCCAGAGCCAGCUUUCCCCUCCUGCCCCUUCCAGCCUCAGGGUGAAUUCAUUCCAUGGCACACAAAGCACCCCAAGAACAGAACUACCCAGCUUCCUUGGCACAGCCAUGUUUAUUGAAAUGGCAAAUGCAAAAUAUUUUUGUCAUCUCUCUCCUCCUCCCAGGUGAGAAACGCUUCUCGUGGCCAGGGGCUGCCGCAUCCACCUGGCUCCUGGAUUAUUGGGAAUGUUCUCCGCAGCGUCCCGGCUUUUCCUGGCAGGUGUCUCCUCCAGUCCUUGGAGCAAUCCUUGGAUCCUGCAGCAUUCCUUCGUGUCCCCAAGCGCUGCCCGUGGUGACAGAGCAGCAGGUGAUGAAGAAAUGGCUCUGUGAGAGCUGAAGCGGCAGAGGAAAUUACAGCACCGGUUUUACGGACAACAAAGAGAUCCCCCCUCCUCCCCGGCAGCCUCUCUGUAACCAGAACAAACAGAAAUUCUCCUUUAAUCCAGCACUGGCCGAGUGGCACUCCGCAGUGGGGAAGUCAAGCUCUUUUUCAGCUUCUCCUGAUCAAAAUUCUCUUGUUCCCAGGAAGCAGAAAAUUGAAUUGGGCACCUGUGGAAAUGGAGGUGGAAUUUCACCUCUCCUCCCUUUGCAGAAGUUGUUUAGGCUCAGCUCUGUCCCCCUCGCUGGCUGGGAGAAGGGAAUUAUUGUCACUUCUCCAUGUCUGGAACGCAAUUCUGUGAUAAAUAAACAAUUCCAGGCGCUUGAACCUCGCCUGUUGGGAUGGGGAUUUUGGUGUGCGUGAAGCGAGAGCUCCGAAAUCCCAGCUCUGGGGACAAUUCCCGGCUGGAUGGGAGGUGGCAUCUCCCUGUGACAGUGACACCAAACACUGCUGCAGCCCCAGCUUUGGAGGUGUCACCCCUCCCAGUGUGAUUUCCAUGGGAAUCUGAUUAAACCAGCUCCGAGAGGAGCUGUGCGCAAGAAUUUUAACUAGCUGCUGCUUUUUAAUAUUCACUUCCUCUUCGGGUUUAAUUAUUUUGUUCCUGCGUUUUCCCUUUCAAUUUACUAAAACUCCAGAAAUGUAAUUAGGGAGAGGCUGAGCUGCAGAGAGCUGCCAGCGCUUCUCCACCGUGAUUAAAUGGAGCAGCCCUGCCUCCAGCGCGGGGCUGCAGGACAGGAUUCCAAUCAUUAUCCCGUUAUCCAGGAAGGAUCUGCGGCACGUCGGGAUCAGAGUUAUUGGAAAUGCAGCACUAAUUAAACUCCCCCAUCAGCAGAGGAUGAAAACGCA